AGGUGCGAUCAUACUAGCAUUAAUAUACCACAUCUCAUAAGAACUUCGCAAUUAAGCGUGCUGAGGCGAGAGUAGUACUAGGAUGGGUGACCUUCUAGGAAGUCCUCGUGUUGCACCCC